UUAGUUAAGUAGAUAAAGCGAUAGCAUUUGAGGCUAACGGUACUGGGUUCAAAUCCCAGA
rnacentral:tRNA from 1 species